UUUCUAAUUGAGGCUUGCAGCCUAGAUUUUUCCCUUUGGUCUAGUUUGAAGGAUCCAGGUAUGUAAAGCUUAUAUUCUAGAUAAAUCAUGGGCUAUCCUGAAAGGAAUUCAUCAAUGAAUUAUUCUGUAUGGAUUAGAAGCCAGUUUCUCUGGCCUUCCUGGAGUAUAUCCAGUAAGGCAUCUCAUUCAUGUCUAGAAAGCAAAUAUAUCAUUUAUUGAAACUUCAGCGUGGAGCGAUGUAUUGGUUUAAAAUAAAGUACGAGCAACACAAUUUGGUCAUUGUGAGUAUGCCGGCUGGGUCCACUCUUUACUACACAUAUGUAACUCUAGAGCUUCUUAUGCCCCGUAGAGGAGACAUACUCUUGUGUGUCUAGGACAAGGGAAACAUGUGUUGUUAUUCAGGAGCUGGAAGCUACAGCAUGACAGGAAAGAAUUGAAAAAUCCUGGUCUUGGUCUACACGUCACUUUACCUUGUCCGAAUCUUGUUUCUUUGGCUUGCUUCAUUGGAGUGUUUUCUGUCUCCUGGGACUGACAUUGUGUGUUCUGUAUCAGGCAUGUGACAUGUAGAAGUUUCAGAACCCAGAAUCGUAUAGAUCAGUAAAAAUCUAUAUAUUUUUGUUUAAAAUCUAUUUAAAAUCACACUGGGCAUAAUUCAUAUAUUCCAAAAGUAGUUUGACCCUCUGCUCAUGAGAUUCUUUUUAUGGUAUGUCGAAGCAAAUUUGGACUUCCAUCCCCAAUAAACUUUGAGGUUGGAGGACACAAAAGCUUUUGCUCAGACCUAAAUUCUGUCUGAAAAAAAAGGGUAACUAUUAUAAGCCCUUUCUAACCUCUCCAGGAGCAGAAAUGAUUUACAGCUAUGGCAUUGAACCAUAAUUUCUUGAUCUCGUUUGAGAAGAGUUCAGUAAGAAACAGUGUCUUGAGUUUUGUUCGUUGGUUCCCUGUUUUCUUGUCUUGCGUGCCAACAAUCCACUGUAAUACGUGAGUGAGUAUGGCAGCAGGCCGAGUGUUCCCUGGAGCUCAUUAAAUGAACGUGUUUUCCUGAAAUGACUUUUGUCUCCUUGUUUUCAGCCCCUCUUCUUUCCUCUGUCCUUUACUAUAACCAGGGCUCAGCAAAAGCUGACUGGCUUUGUGCAGACCCUACUUAGGGUAGUCUUUUCUUCAUUAUUUUAUUCAUGGCCCCUCCAUUUCAUUGUUUGCCUUCUCGAAAUGUGUUGAAAUCUUUCUGUGGUUGAUGACUUCCACAAUGUCUUGGCUCUUAUUGGUUGAUUAAUUUGGGUAUUUCUACAGUUUUAUUUAAACCUGGUUUCAGGAGGACCAGAAAGUAAAUAUAUUUCCUAGUCUGCCAUCUUGAGCUGAAAAUCCCUGUGGAUUUUAGCAUCCAAUGUUCCCAUGGGUAAAAAACCCAACCUUGGCAUUAAUAGAUGUACACUCAAGAUUUCAGCUUUUCUUGAGCAAUCACUAAGGAUUUAAUAUGCGGUCACUUCUAAUGGGAAAAUAGUAACUAUCUCAUGGCGUUGAUUUGAGGAUUAACUUAGAUAAUGGACAAGAAAAUGCUUGGUAAGGUUUUAAAAGCUAUAAAAAAUGUUUUUUGUUAUUAUUUGAUUUGUUGCUAUUUCAACUUUAGCUGACAGUUGUUUGUGACCUUGCUUAUGUGAGAAAAUGCCUUCUGGUUUAUUGUUUUGAAAGCCAGAUUAUAUUUUUCAAUAGCUCAAUGGAAAUGGCAUCAUUUGUGAAGUUGAAGGGUGAAGGCAUAAAUGUUUCUUGACAUUUGAAUCAACUAUUGGUCUUCUGGGGCUUGUCCUUAUUCUCCUGCAGUCUCUAAUCAACAUGGCAUCCAGAGAGAUCCUGUUAAAACCUCGAGAGAGGCUAUAUUCAUCUGUGUUAAUCACUGCUGUGUUUCCUGAACAUGCCUAGAAAACAUACUGAAGAAGGGUGCCUGAAAUUUGGUAAGGGAGC